rnacentral:rRNA from 1 species
GGAGUUAGGACCGUGUCUCAGUUCCUAUGUGGGGGACCUUCCUCUCAGAACCCCUACUGAUCGACGGCUUGGUGGGCCGUUACCCCGCCAACAACCUAAUCAGACGCAUCCCCAUCCCUUAGCGAUAAAUCUUUGAUUCACUUCAGAUGUCCUCGACGAAUAACAUAGGGGAUUAAUCCGACUUUCGCCGGGCUAUGCCCUACUAAGGGGAAGGUUGGAUACGCGUUACUCACCCGUGCGCCGGUCGCCAUCAAUCAAAGCAAGCUUUUGAUCAUGCUCGCCCCUCGACUUGCAUGUGUUAAGCCUGUAGCUAGCGUUCAUC